rnacentral:lncRNA from 1 species
GGACCAGUUCAGUAGGUAAAGGCUCUGAGUCCUUUAUCCCACUCCAUACAGAGAAGAUUUCACUUUUUGGUUGCAUACAGUGGGCUCUACAUAAGAUUUCAUUUGAACAAAAGAGGCUGCUGCUGCGAAGAACUCGACAAUUGCUGGCCUGGAUGAAGAAACAGAGCCAGAGAGGAAUCUGUGCAAGUCACAUCGCACAGACAACAGCGGCGGGCAGCGUCCAGACCCCACUCUGGCCACGGGGGAGCUGCGACGCUAUUGCUGAGCCUUGGCAUUCAUAGCAGACCUGAGGAUCCCACUCCAUCCUCCAGCAGGCCACCGGCCUCCCAGGAUCACCAUCCACCUUGUUCCCUGAAGGUUCCACUGACCUCUGGAACGAGCUCAGGCUUGGGUUCUCCACCGGUUGUGGGGGAUGAAAACCCUGACUCUAAGAUAAAG